rnacentral:rRNA from 1 species
UACGUAGGUGACAAGCGUUGUCCGGAUUUACUGGGCGUAAAGAGCGCGCAGGCGGUCGUUCAAGUCGAGUGUGAAAGCCCCCGGCUCAACUGGGGGAGGUCAUUCGAUACUGCUCGGCUCGAAGACAGGAGAGGGAAGUGGAAUUCCCGGUGUAGUGGUGAAAUGCGUAGAUAUCGGGAGGAACACCAGUGGCGAAGGCGACUUUCUGGCCUGUUCUUGACGCUGAGGCGCGAAAGCUAGGGGAGCAAACGGG